CUCGGUGAUCAAGCUUGGUAUGAACCACCUCUUCCCAUCCCGAACAGAGAAGUGAAAGUGCCAAGCUCCGAUGAUACUGCGUCUUGAACGUGGGACAGUAGGAUUUGCCGGGA
rnacentral:rRNA from 1 species